GUUAGAAGCCAUAUCACCCUGCAGCCCAAGACCGGUUACUCACUGAAGCUAAGCAGGGCUGAGCCUGGUCAGUACCUGGAUGGGAGACCACAUGGGAACACUAGGUUGCUGUUGGAA
rnacentral:rRNA from 1 species